UGGGGAAUCUUGGACAAUGGGGGCAACCCUGAUCCAGCGAUGCCGCGUGAGUGAAGAAGGCCUUCGGGUCGUAAAGCUCUUUAGGUUGGGAAGAAGGUUAUUAGGGGAUAAUCCUAGUAAUUUGACUGUACCGACAAAAUAAGCACCGGCAAACUCUGUGCCAGCAGCCGCGGUAAUACAGAGGGUGCGAGCGUUAAUCGGAGUUACUGGGCGUAAAGGGCGCGUAGGCGGUGAGAUGAGUGUGAUGUGAAAGCCCUGGGCUUAACCUAGGAAGUGCAUCGCAAACGAUCUGACUGGAGUAUAUGAGAGGGUGGCGGAAUUUCCGGUGUAGCGGUGAAAUGCGUAGAGAUCGGAAGGAACGUCAAUGGCGAAGGCAGCCACCUGGCAUAAUACUGACGCUGAGGCGCGAAAGCGUGGGGAGCGAACAGG
rnacentral:rRNA from 1 species